GACGAACGCUGGCGGCGUGCCUAAUACAUGCAAGUAGAACGCACAGUUUAUACCGUAGCUUGCUACACCAUAAACUGUGAGUUGCGAACGGGUGAGUAACGCGUAGGUAACCUGCCUGGUAGCGGGGGAUAACUAUUGGAAACGAUAGCUAAUACCGCAUAAUAUUGAUUAUUGCAUGAUAAUUGAUUGAACGAUGCUAUUGCAUCACUACCAGAUGGACCUGCGUUGUAUUAGCUAGUAGGUGAGGUAACGGCUCACCUAGGCGGCGAUACAGAGCCGACCGGGGGGGGUGAUCGGGCACACUGGGACUGAGACACGGCCCAGGCUGCGACGGGAGGGAGCAGUAGGGAAGGUUCGGCAAUGGAGGGAAGGCUGGCCGGGGAACGCCGCGUGGGGGAAGAAGGUUUGCGGAUCGUAAAGCUCUGUUGGAAGAGAAGAACGGGUGUGAGAGUGGAAAGUGCACGCGGUGACGGUAUCUUACCAGAAAGGGACGGCUAACUACGUG
rnacentral:rRNA from 1 species